UGCUGCCGGUGAGAUGUUUGGUGUUGGUGCUGCUGCUGCUGGUGCUGGAGGCGCCUCCUCCGUUGCUGCUGCUGCUGCCGCUGCUGUCGCCAGGAGCACCGACGUUGGCCUCGUGGCCUGGCUUAAGUGCAUCUCUUCACGCCAGCCCCCCGCAGCCUGAUGCUCUAUCUCAGUCCAACUUAAGCUCCACUCUAUAAUUUAUCAAAUUGAUCAGCGGACUCCAAUUGGAAUACUUCUGUUUGUUUGUCGAAUUUUCCUUUUUAGCUCAGUCAAUUUUAAACAAAUUGUUUCUGGGACUCAUCUGAAUUCGGAUAUUUUUAUGGACUGAAAUAGGCGAUUCAAUCGAAUUUUUACAUUUCAAUUCAGAUUUUCAAAAUUUU
rnacentral:sRNA from 1 species